UAUCUCUCCGUACGGGGAAGGAUGGGAAGCUUCGACUAAGGUUCGAUUCGAGCGCAGCGAGAAAGCGUUGCCGCAGGCAACGACCCGAAGGGUGAGGAGCGGAGCGACGAAUAAUCCUUCCCCCACCAUCA
rnacentral:sRNA from 1 species